AUGAGGCUCCCUGCUCAGCUCCUGGGGCUGCUAAUGCUCUGGGUCCCUGGAUCCAGUGAGGAUAUUGUGAUGACCCAGACUCCACUCUCCCUGCCCGUCACCCCUGGAGAGCCGGCCUCCAUCUCCUGCAGGUCUAGUCAGAGCCUCUUGGAUAGUGAUGAUGGAAACACCUAUUUGGACUGGUACCUGCAGAAGCCAGGGCAGUCUCCACAGCUCCUGAUCUAUACGCUUUCCUAUCGGGCCUCUGGAGUCCCAGACAGGUUCAGUGGCAGUGGGUCAGGCACUGAUUUCACACUGAAAAUCAGCAGGGUGGAGGCUGAGGAUGUUGGAGUUUAUUACUGCAUGCAACGUAUAGAGUUUCCU